GUGGAUUAGAUACCCGGGUAGUCCACGCCGUAAACGAUGAGAACUAGAUGUUAGGGGGCUUAGACCCUUUAGUAUCGCAGCAAACGCGUUAAGUUCUCCGCCUGGGGAGUACGGCCGCAAGGUUAAAACUCAAAGGAAUUGACGGGGGCCCGCACAAGCGGUGGAGCAUGUGGUUUAAUUCGAUGCAACGCGAAGAACCUUACCUACCUUUGAAUCCACGGAAUCUUGCAGAGAUGUGAGAGUGCCUUCGGGAACCGUGAGACAGGUGCUGCAUGGCUGUCGUCAACU
rnacentral:rRNA from 1 species